UCUUCCCGAGGGAGGAGGGGGUGCAGCAGGGAGGACAGACUCUAUUUUCGGUGUCAGCCCAAGGGGACGCCCUGAGGAGGGGGCGAAGGGUCACCCGCAUCGCAGUGCUGUUCUGUGCGCCAGGAACGCUGGCUUCCUUCCUGUCCGGCCCUGGGCAACAGUCUCUUUCGUUUAAAGGAAGCCUUUGCCAAAAUCUGCUUUCUGGAAACUUUCCUCUAGACCUGGCUCCUGCCAUCGGGCUUGGCUGCAGGGAAAGGCCUGGAAGACUGUGGGUUGGAAUGUUGCCCCGGAGAAGCGAGUAGGCACUAUUUCCAUGCUGAAAUGAAGAAAUGACUGAGCGAGUAUGAAAUGACUCGUGGAAGGCCACACAGCAAGUUGGAAGAAGAUUCUGGAUUAGAAACCUGAAAUUUCCAUGUCCUCCCCGGGUCUGUAAACCUGGUCUACUAAGCUAAGGUUUUCUAAGUCACUGGGGGCCCAAAGAUGCAUGCUGACCCCCAGGUAGAAGCUGUGACUUCAAACUGGGAGCCAGCGCUAUGCAGAGU